AUCCAGUUGACGAGUCCUAAAUAGGACGAAAUGCGCCUUGUCCUGGAU
rnacentral:hammerhead_ribozyme from 1 species